ACAAAAUUAGUCAUUUAUAUUGGAUAUUGGCUUUAAUUUCACUUCAAAUUAAAAUUCUAAAGCAAAAAUUCUGGCAUUGAAUAAUUUAUUUGAUUUUUCAUUUACAGAUGUACCAAUUAAAAGAUCAAUGAAUUUUCAACAACAAUCAAUAAAUCCAAUGGUUUUGUCAUACAUGUAAUUUGAUUUCAGACAUUAAAUAGACAAGUUCAUAUAGGCUUUAGCCUGCUGCCAAAUCAAUUCAUAGUCAUGAUUUAAUACAUGUAAACUUAAAAUACAUGAAUGUACAACUCUAUUAGGAGAUUAGGACACAUUUAACCAGCAUUUGGAAUAAAAACAAGGAAUGGUCAGGUAAAAAGAGGAGGAACUUUAAGUAUCACAUUCCAUUCCCUAGUCAGUACAACCCAAAACAAUAAAUAUUCACGAUAUAGAUAUCUUGUACAAAGAUUUGAAUGAUUUCGAGCCUUUCUCAAAACUUGAAAGUGUGUACAUCUAGAUAAAAUUCUGAUUUUCACGAAAUAUUUGUCAGAAUAUCAUCUUUCAAAUUCACAUUAUUUUGAUGUCUGAUAUAAUGUUACAUACUGUCACGUCCAUAAUUGACAGAAAAUAAAGAACAUGUACACAG
rnacentral:misc_RNA from 1 species